rnacentral:rRNA from 1 species
UACGUAGGGUGCGAGCGUUAAUCGGAAUUACUGGGCGUAAAGCGUGCGCAGGCGGCUUUGCAAGACAGAGGUGAAAUCCCCGGGCUCAACCUGGGAACUGCCUUUGUGACUGCAAGGCUAGAGUACGGCAGAGGGGGAUGGAAUUCCGCGUGUAGCAGUGAAAUGCGUAGAUAUGCGGAGGAACACCGAUGGCGAAGGCAAUCCCCUGGGCCCGUACUGACGCUCAUGCACGAAAGCGUGGGGAGCAAACAGGAUUAGA